rnacentral:misc_RNA from 1 species
GAUGAAGAACGUAGCGAAAUGCGAUAAGUAAUGUGAAUUGCAGAAUUCAGUGAAUCAUCGAAUCUUUGAACGCACAUUGCGCCCGCCAGUAUUCUGGCGGGUAUGCCUGUUCGAGCGUCAUUACAACCCUCAGGCCCCCGGGCCUGGCGUUGGGGAUCGGCGGAAGCCCCCUGCGGGCACAACGCCGUCCCCCAAAUACAGUGGCGGUCCCGCCGCAGCUUCCAUUGCGUAGUAGCUAACACCUCGCAACUGGAGAGCGGCGCGGCCACGCCGUAAAACACCCAACGUCUGAAUGUUGACCUCGAAUCAGGUAGGAAUACCCGCUGAACUUAAGCAUAUCAAUAAGCGGAGGA